CAGUCGAGGGGUAGAGUUCUUCGGAGCUUGAGACCGGCGCACGGGUGCGUAACGCGUAUGCAAUCUACCUUUUACAGAGGGAUAGCCCAGAGAAAUUUGGAUUAAUACCUCAUAGUAUAAUUGAAUGGCAUCAUUUAAUUAUUAAAGUCACAACGGUAAAAGAUGAGCAUGCGUCCCAUUAGCUAGUUGGUAAGGUAACGGCUUACCAAGGCUACGAUGGGUAGGGGUCCUGAGAGGGAGAUCCCCCACACUGGUACUGAGACACGGACCAGACUCCUACGGGAGGCAGCAGUGAGGAAUAUUGGACAAUGGGCGCAAGCCUGAUCCAGCCAUGCCGCGUGCAGGAUGACGGUCCUAUGGAUUGUAAACUGCUUUUGUACAGGAAGAAACACUGGUUCGUGAACCAGCUUGACGGUACUGUAAGAAUAAGGAUCGGCUAACUCCGUGCCAGCAGCCGCGGUAAUACGGAGGAUCCAAGCGUUAUCCGGAAUCAUUGGGUUUAAAGGGUCCGUAGGCGGUUUGGUAAGUCAGUGGUGAAAGCCCAUCGCUCAACGGUGGAACGGCCAUUGAUACUGCUAGACUUGAAUUAUUAGGAAGUAACUAGAAUAUGUAGUGUAGCGGUGAAAUGCUUAGAGAUUACAUGGAAUACCAAUUGCGAAGGCAGGUUACUACUAAUAUAUUGACGCUGAUGGACGAAAGCGUGGGUAGCGAACAGGAUUAGAUACCCUGGUAGUCCACGCCGUAAACGAUGGAUACUAGCUGUUGGGCGCAAGUUCAGUGGCUAAGCGAAAGUGAUAAGUAUCCCACCUGGGGAGUACGUUCGCAAGAAUGAAAC
rnacentral:rRNA from 1 species